rnacentral:rRNA from 1 species
UAGUGAAAACAGGCGAUAAAUCAUUCAAGUUUCUGACCUAUCAGCUUUCGACGGUAUGGUAUUGGCUUACCGUGGCAGUGACGGUUAACGGGGGAUUAGGGUUCGAUUCCGGAGAGGGAGCCUGAGAAACGGCUACCACAUCUAAGGAAGGCAGCAGGCGCGCAAAUUACCCAAUUCUAACAGUUUGAGAGAGGUAGUAACAAGAAAUAACAAUACAAGGCAGUUAAAAUGCUUUGUAAUUGGAAUGAUAGAAAUUUAAACCCUUUUUAAAGUAUCAAUUGGAGGGCAAGUCUGGUGCCAGCAGCCGCGGUAAUUCCAGCUCCAAUAGCGUAUAUUAAAAUUGUUGCAGUUAAAAAGCUCGUAGUUGAAGUUCUGCUAAAAGUAACCGGUCUGCUUUGAAUAAAAGUGGUAUCUUGGUAUGUAUUUAGCAAUGAUGUCCUUUGAAGUGUUUUUUACUUUAUUGUAAUAAAGCAUAUUCAGGACUUUUACUUUGAGAAAAUUAGAGUGUUUCUAGCAGGCCAACGCUUUGAAUACUGCAGC